rnacentral:rRNA from 1 species
ACCUCGCGCGAUUGGAGCGGCCGAUGGCAGAUUAGGUAGUUGGUGGGGUAAAGGCUCACCAAGCCGACGAUCUGUAGCUGGUCUGAGAGGACGACCAGCCACACUGGGACUGAGACACGGCCCAGACUCCUACGGGAGGCAGCAGUGGGGAAUUUUGGACAAUGGACGCAAGUCUGAUCCAGCCAUUCCGCGUGCAGGAUGAAGGCCCUCGGGUUGUAAACUGCUUUUGUACGGAACGAAAAGGCUCUGGUUAAUACCUGGGGCUCAUGACGGUACCGUAAGAAUAAGCACCGGCUAACUACGUGCCAGCAGCCGCGGUAAUACGUAGGGUGCAAGCGUUAAUCGGAAUUACUGGGCGUAAAGCGUGCGCAGGCGGUUAUGUAAGACAGAUGUGAAUCCCCGGACUUAACCUGGGAACUGCAUUUGUGACUGCAUAGCUAGAGUACGGUAGAGGGGGAUGGAAUUCCGCGUGUAGCAGUGAAAUGCGUAGAUAU